GUCACUUCUUACAAACUCCACGACAUCAUCAGGUUGUUUUUUCUCCAUCGUCAUCAUGCGGUCUUCACAGGCUGAGUUUAUCUUCUAAUUACAAGUGAACUCAGCUUAAUUUAACUUUAACAUCAGCGCAUUAGCAUUUUCACCAUCAGCAUGUCGUCAUGAUGUUGUUAGCGUCUGCCAUAGAAUUCACAGAUGCCUUAGUGCGGCCUCGCGGAGCCGCUAGCACGGCAGCAGAGUCUAAGUCUGGUUGCCAUUUAGCCCUUUUUGCUUCAUCUGACAGACAACUAUUUGCCCUCAAGAUGGAACCAACAGCGAGACACCUCCCCGCGCUGCAGCUCCAUUACCAGCUAUUUGGAGCCGACCACCAAACACCUCAUCAUCGUCGCUGCCUUAACUGUGAUUAAUGUGCUUUGCCCUGCUGGGGUUAAAACAACCGCAGCGCGCGCCAUUUAUUGGCUUGCCCUACGUGUUUGUUGACAAGCUGUCUGGGACACACUUAACAUAUCAUCCAGCAUGAAGUGGAGGUUUGCAUGGCAGCUACUUCGGGGUCAAGAGGUCAACUUAUUACAUUACCAUCUUUUAACAAUGAAGCUUCCUCCGACAGACAAAUAGACACGGGCAUGGAAAGCAUCAUCGUAAGCGCCGCGCGUUGCGGCUUCACGGGAUACUGCACCAUCGCCAGCAGCUGCAGAGAGACGUGACGCUGUGGAAGCCUAUCGGGGAGCGAGGGAGAGGAAUGUGGGAUGGUAAUCAGAAACACAUGCCGCUCACAUGAAUGUCAAGGAGAAAAGAGAGGAGUAAGUCGAGAGUCAGAGCGACUCUGUGAGACAGACCAAAGAGGGGAGGCAUCCUUGAGGUUGACAUCGACGUGGAGAACUAAUCUGCCUGCGGGCUGUGAUUCAGACCCAAGUCCCCACAGGACCUCCAUCAGCUGGGAUGUGAUGUUAG